rnacentral:rRNA from 1 species
AACGGCCAUGCCAUGCUGAAUAUAGCGGUUCUCGUUAGAUCACCCGAAGUCAAGCAUCAUUGGGCGCGGUCAGUACUUGGGUGGGGUGACCACAUGGGAAAAACGCGUGCCGUU